rnacentral:rRNA from 1 species
UGGGGAAUUUUGGACAAUGGGCGAAAGCCUGAUCCAGCAAUGCCGCGUGUGUGAAGAAGGCCUUCGGGUUGUAAAGCACUUUUGUCCGGAAAGAAAUCCUUGGCUCUAAUACAGUCGGGGGAUGACGGUACCGGAAGAAUAAGCACCGGCUAACUACGUGCCAGCAGCCGCGGUAAUACGUAGGGUGCAAGCGUUAAUCGGAAUUACUGGGCGUAAAGCGUGCGCAGGCGGUUUGCUAAGACCGAUGUGAAAUCCCCGGGCUCAACCUGGGAACUGCAUUGGUGACUGGCAGGCUAGAGUAUGGCAGAGGGGGGUAGAAUUCCACGUGUAGCAGUGAGAUGCGUAGAGAUGUGGAGGAAUACCGAUGGCGAAGGCAGCCCCCUGGGCCAAUACUGACGCUCAUGCACGAAAGCGUGGGGAGCAAACAGGAUUAGAUACCCUGGUAGUCCACGCCCUAAACGAUGUCAACUAGUUGUUGGGGAUUCAUUUCCUUAGUAACGUAGCUAACGCGUGAAGUUGACCGCCUGGGGAGUACGGUCGCAAGAUUAAAACUUAAA